UCAUCAGAGUGGUUGUGACAUG
rnacentral:miRNA from 1 species